rnacentral:lncRNA from 1 species
CAAGACUACACUUACAGUCUCUUCCUCCACUUAGUUUUAUUUCCCCCACUUACUUUUUACUUGGAGUGUGUGAAUAUGUCCUGUGUCUUUGUAUGCAGGUGUCCUCAUAUUCAGGUGUGUAUGUGUUUGGUAUGUAUACAAGAUGUGAAUUCACCUAUGUUUAUACAUAAUAUUUUUGGAUCUUUCCAGACAACAUUUCCUGCUUUUUUUCCUAAAACCCGAUGUGGCAAAAGGCCAAUACUGAGAGAUGUCAGUUUCUGGAAUUUUCGUACAUUUUAAAUAUAUACCUUCUCACUUCUUGUUGCCCCAUCACACAAACAUGCCCUCUCUAUUACAUACCCUCUCAACUGGAUUAUCUUUCUUAAUAAGUGUAGAAAGUAGAAAAUUUCCAUUGAUGGCUUGUCUAUUUCUUCCAGUAUUUCCAAGGGCCACAUUUAAUAUAGAAAAUGUGUAGUAGCAGUCAAAUAUCGUGGUAGUGAUUGGAAGUCCCAGGACUUCGGGAAUCAGAAUCUUCUCAUACUCAUAACCACUUUUUUUAAAGUGCCAAAUAUUUUGACUGAAAAAAGAAAACGCUA